CACCUAGAAUUUGUAUAUUUGUAAGGACGCUGCCUUUCCUCAGGGGUCUUGUGCCCUUUCUUUACCCGUUCUUGCCUGUCUUCCAGGACAUUGAUGUGAUAAGCACUGUGCAGAUUUUGAAGAAAAACAGCCACUGUGCCCUCAAACACCUGACAAGCUAAUUGCAAAGCUGAGAGACACCUGCUAAAUCCCUGAAAAUGCCAAGCAAACCAGUGAAGAGUAAACCAGCUGCUUUUAAAAAGGUAUCAAGAUUCAACUUGCUGCUGUAAGUCUGUUGUCCCUGAGUUCUGAGAAAACACACCUGCUUCAACUGGAAUAUUUUUCAUGAAAAGUCAAUAAAAACCAUGCAGUAGAAGCACCAAGAACAGAACCAAUUAAUACAUAACUCACAUCAUGAGAGAAUCAGUCAGACUCCAAUGUGGUGUUCAAUGCAACGAUGCCCUCAUAUCGACGCUGAAUGUAUGCAGCUCUCAAAAUCCUUAAAAAACAGAAGUGCACUGUUCCAUUCUGGAGGAACAUUUUCUGUGACUGGGAAGUCUUGGCAUGUGGAACGAUUUUUGAGCAAAUACACGAUCCUCCAUCCUUGUGCUUUUGUUCUGCUCAGACACUGUGGGAAAGAACAAGGGAACGCUAUCAAGCUUUACUUUCUGAAGGUCUCAUCUGCAUGGUGAGGAGUGACCUGUUACCAAACCCAUUAAGAUUUACUCAUAUGGAGAACUGA
rnacentral:lncRNA from 1 species